rnacentral:rRNA from 2 species
GGUUAAGCGACUAAGCGUACACGGUGGAUGCCCUGGCAGUCAGAGGCGAUGAAGGACGUGCUAAUCUGCGAUAAGCGUCGGUAAGGUGAUAUGAACCGUUAUAACCGGCGAUUUCCGAAUGGGGAAACCCAGUGUGAUUCGUCACACUAUCAUUAACUGAAUCCAUAGGUUAAUGAGGCGAACCGGGGGAACUGAAACAUCUAAGUACCCCGAGGAAAAGAAAUCAACCGAGAUUCCCCCAGUAGCGGCGAGCGAACGGGGAGCAGCCCAGAGCCUGAAUCAGUGUGUGUGUUAGUGGAAGCGUCUGGAAAGGCGCGCGAUACAGGGUGACAGCCCCGUACACAAAAAUGCACAUACUGUGAGCUCGAUGAGUAGGGCGGGACACGUGGUAUCCUGUCUGAAUAUGGGGGGACCAUCCUCCAAGGCUAAAUACUCCUGACUGACCGAUAGUGAACCAGUACCGUGAGGGAAAGGCGAAAAGAACCCCGGCGAGGGGAGUGAAAAAGAACCUGAAACCGUGUACGUACAAGCAGUGGGAGCCUCUUUAUGGGGUGACUGCGUACCUUUUGUAUAAUGGGUCAGCGACUUAUAUUCUGUAGCAAGGUUAACCGAAUAGGGGAGCCGAAGGGAAACCGAGUCUUAACUGGGCGUUAAGUUGCAGGGUAUAGACCCGAAACCCGGUGAUCUAGCCAUGGGCAGGUUGAAGGUUGGGUAACACUAACUGGAGGACCGAACCGACUAAUGUUGAAAAAUUAGCGGAUGACUUGUGGCUGGGGGUGAAAGGCCAAUCAAACCGGGAGAUAGCUGGUUCUCCCCGAAAGCUAUUUAGGUAGCGCCUCGUGAAUUCAUCUCCGGGGGUAGAGCACUGUUUCGGCAAGGGGGUCAUCCCGACUUACCAACCCGAUGCAAACUGCGAAUACCGGAGAAUGUUAUCACGGGAGACACACGGCGGGUGCUAACGUCCGUCGUGAAGAGGGAAACAACCCAGACCGCCAGCUAAGGUCCCAAAGUCAUGGUUAAGUGGGAAACGAUGUGGGAAGGCCCAGACAGCCAGGAUGUUGGCUUAGAAGCAGCCAUCAUUUAAAGAAAGCGUAAUAGCUCACUGGUCGAGUCGGCCUGCGCGGAAGAUGUAACGGGGCUAAACCAUGCACCGAAGCUGCGGCAGCGACACUAUGUGUUGUUGGGUAGGGGAGCGUUCUGUAAGCCUGUGAAGGUGUGCUGUGAGGUAUGCUGGAGGUAUCAGAAGUGCGAAUGCUGACAUAAGUAACGAUAAAGCGGGUGAAAAGCCCGCUCGCCGGAAGACCAAGGGUUCCUGUCCAACGUUAAUCGGGGCAGGGUGAGUCGACCCCUAAGGCGAGGCCGAAAGGCGUAGUCGAUGGGAAACAGGUUAAUAUUCCUGUACUUGGUGUUACUGCGAAGGGGGGACGGAGAAGGCUAUGUUGGCCGGGCGACGGUUGUCCCGGUUUAAGCGUGUAGGCUGGUUUUCCAGGCAAAUCCGGAAAAUCAAGGCUGAGGCGUGAUGACGAGGCACUACGGUGCUGAAGCAACAAAUGCCCUGCUUCCAGGAAAAGCCUCUAAGCAUCAGGUAACAUCAAAUCGUACCCCAAACCGACACAGGUGGUCAGGUAGAGAAUACCAAGGCGCUUGAGAGAACUCGGGUGAAGGAACUAGGCAAAAUGGUGCCGUAACUUCGGGAGAAGGCACGCUGAUAUGUAGGUGAAGUCCCUUGCGGAUGGAGCUGAAAUCAGUCGAAGAUACCAGCUGGCUGCAACUGUUUAUUAAAAACACAGCACUGUGCAAACACGAAAGUGGACGUAUACGGUGUGACGCCUGCCCGGUGCCGGAAGGUUAAUUGAUGGGGUUAGCGGUAACGCGAAGCUCUUGAUCGAAGCCCCGGUAAACGGCGGCCGUAACUAUAACGGUCCUAAGGUAGCGAAAUUCCUUGUCGGGUAAGUUCCGACCUGCACGAAUGGCGUAAUGAUGGCCAGGCUGUCUCCACCCGAGACUCAGUGAAAUUGAACUCGCUGUGAAGAUGCAGUGUACCCGCGGCAAGACGGAAAGACCCCGUGAACCUUUACUAUAGCUUGACACUGAACAUUGAGCCUUGAUGUGUAGGAUAGGUGGGAGGCUUUGAAGUGUGGACGCCAGUCUGCAUGGAGCCGACCUUGAAAUACCACCCUUUAAUGUUUGAUGUUCUAACGUUGGCCCCUGAUCGGGGUUGCGGACAGUGUCUGGUGGGUAGUUUGACUGGGGCGGUCUCCUCCUAAAGAGUAACGGAGGAGCACGAAGGUUGGCUAAUCCUGGUCGGACAUCAGGAGGUUAGUGCAAUGGCAUAAGCCAGCUUGACUGCGAGCGUGACGGCGCGAGCAGGUGCGAAAGCAGGUCAUAGUGAUCCGGUGGUUCUGAAUGGAAGGGCCAUCGCUCAACGGAUAAAAGGUACUCCGGGGAUAACAGGCUGAUACCGCCCAAGAGUUCAUAUCGACGGCGGUGUUUGGCACCUCGAUGUCGGCUCAUCACAUCCUGGGGCUGAAGUAGGUCCCAAGGGUAUGGCUGUUCGCCAUUUAAAGUGGUACGCGAGCUGGGUUUAGAACGUCGUGAGACAGUUCGGUCCCUAUCUGCCGUGGGCGCUGGAGAACUGAGGGGGGCUGCUCCUAGUACGAGAGGACCGGAGUGGACGCAUCACUGGUGUUCGGGUUGUCAUGCCAAUGGCACUGCCCGGUAGCUAAAUGCGGAAGAGAUAAGUGCUGAAAGCAUCUAAGCACGAAACUUGCCCCGAGAUGAGUUCUCCCUGACCCUUUAAGGGUCCUGAAGGAACGUUGAAGACGACGACGUUGAUAGGCCGGGUGUGUAAGCGCAGCGAUGCGUUGAGCUAACCGGUACUAAUGAACCGUGAGGCUUAACCUU